rnacentral:rRNA from 1 species
GAUCAUGGCUCAGGAUGAACGCUAGCGACAGGCUUAACACAUGCAAGUCGAGGGGCAGCACGGUGUAGCAAUACACUGGUGGCGACCGGCGCACGGGUGAGUAACACGUGUGCAACCAACCCCGUACCGGGAGAUAACCCGCGGAAACGUGGACUAACAUCCCAUGACACUCUAGAGCCGCAUGGCUCUAGAUUUAAAAUUCCGGUGGUACGGGACGGGCACGCGCGACAUUAGGUAGUUGGCGGGGUAAGGG